rnacentral:rRNA from 1 species
GACGAACGCUGGCGGCGUGCUUAACACAUGCAAGUCGAGCGGUAAGGCCCUUUCGGGGGUACGACGAGCGGCGAACGGGUAGAGUAACACGUGGGUGACCUGCCCUCAGCUCUGGGAGUAAGCCUGGGAAACCGGGUCUAAUACUGGAUAUGACUCCAUGACGCAUGUUAGUGGGGUGGAAAGCCUUGUGCGGCUGAGGAUGGGGCCCGCGGCCUAUCAGCUCGUUGGUGGGGUGANGGCCUACCAAGGCGACGACGGUAGCCGGCCUGAGAGGGCGACCGGCCACACUGGGACUGAGACACGGCCC